rnacentral:piRNA from 1 species
UGGUUAGCCCAAUUAAGGGAAAUGUAACAU